rnacentral:rRNA from 1 species
UACGAAGGGUGCAAGCGUUGUUCGGAAUUACUGGGCGUAAAGGGCUCGUAGGCGGCCAACUAAGUCAGACGUGAAAUCCCUCGGCUUAACCGGGGAACUGCAUCUGAUACUGGAUGGCUUGAGUUCGGGAGAGGGAUGCGGAAUUCCAGGUGUAGCGGUGAAAUGCGUAGAUAUCUGGAGGAACACCGGUGGCGAAGGCGGCAUCCUGGACCGACACUGACGCUGAGGAGCGAAAGCCAGGGGAGCAAACGGG